rnacentral:rRNA from 1 species
AUUGAACGCUGGCGGCAGGCCUAACACAUGCAAGUCGAGCGGGGUUUUCGGACCUAGCGGCGGACGGGUGAGUAAUGCGUAGGAAGCUACCCGAUAGAGGGGGAUACCAGUUGGAAACGACUGUUAAUACCGCAUAAUGUCUACGGACCAAAGUGUGGGACCUUCGGGCCACAUGCUAUCGGAUGCGCCUACGUGGGAUUAGCUAGUUGGUGAGGUAAUGGCUCACCAAGGCGACGAUCCCUAGCUGGUUUGAGAGAAUGAUCAGUCACACUUUAACUGAGACCCGGUCCAGACUCCUACGGGAGGCAGCAGUGGGUAAUAUUGGACAAUGGGCGCAAGCCUGAUCCAGCCAUGCCGCGUGUGUGAAGAAGGCCUUCGGGUUGUAAAGCACUUUCAGUAGGGAGGAAGCGUUGUGUGUUAAUAGUACACAGCGUUGACGUUACCUACAGAAGAAGCACCGGCUAACUCUGUGCCAGCCGCCGCCGUAAAAC